rnacentral:rRNA from 1 species
UCCGUAGGCGGUGUGGCAAGUCGGAAGUGAAAUCUCUGGGCUUAACCCAGAGGCUGCUUCCGAAACUGCCGUGCUAGAGUGUGAGAGAGGCGAGUGGGAAUUGCGGGUGUAGCGGUGAAAUGCGUAGAUAUCCGCAGGAACAUCCGAGGCGAAAGCGGCUCGCUGGAUCACAACUGACGCUGAGGGACGAAAGCUAGGGGAGCAAACAGGAUUAGAUACCCUGGUAGUCCUAGCCCUAAACCAUCAGGACUUGGGUUUGCCCUGUACGGGGCAAGUCCCGUAGCUAACGCGUUAAGUCCUGCGCCUGGGGAGUACGGUCGCAAGGCUGAA